rnacentral:lncRNA from 10 species
GGAACCAGCUGCCAUGUUGUGAGAUGCUCAAGCAGCUGUAUGGAGGAGCCCAUGUGGAAAAAAACUGAGCACCCCUCACAACCGAUAUUCCCUUACCAGGAGUGUGGCAAGCCUCCCUGGAAGCAGACUCUUCAGCACCAGUCAAGCUUUCAGAUGCUGCAGCCGUGGGCAAUGACUUUGCUGCAAUCUUAUGAGAGACUAAGCCAGAACCACCCAGCUAAGUGGCUCCCACAUUCAUGACUCACGAAAACUGUGAGGACACAUGGUGAAUAGAGGGCUUGCUGGCAAUUGGUUCACAAGCUGAGGAGGGCACAAAGGCCAGAUAUUUCAUCUGAAGAGUUCACAGGCUAUUAAAAACAUUAACAAGAUUUUACUGCCUCACCUAGGAUGGAAAUAAUUGCUUUAAAGUGAACUGGCAUUAAAGUGAACACGUCAAGACUACCUACUUGGAAGCUACAGGAGACAGAAACAGAAAACACGACUCCUGAAUCAUGUUCCAUUACUUUAAUCGCUAAACACUGCUCCGUUUAAGCUAAAGAGAUAUAAUGGUACAUUUGACAGAUGCCUUCACAUCAAGAUGAGAUAGGGCCCUGAAAGUCGCAUGUUGAACCUUUCUUACCUUCUACGAGGAUGUCACUCAAAAUCUUUUCUCAAUUCCUCUUCAUUGGCUGAUUACACAAUACAGAGUCAUUCCUAGUGCAGCCCAACCCUCUCCCCAGGUGAACCUUGCUUUACACAAAACACCUGUGUAUAAAUAACCUGGUAAUCAUUCAAGUUGUAUUCUAAAUGCACCACAGAGAUCUCACUUUUUAAGGAACACUGAAAUAAAUGCUUUAGUGAAGCAGAAUAGCCCUUUUGUAAUGUAAACAAUAUAAGCCUAGAUAAAGCUUCCAAUUUACCUAAGUUUAGAUUUUUGCAUAUUGGGUUUCAUUAAAGCAGCAUAUAUCUGUAAAAGAAAAUAUUGUAAGCCUCAGCCCUUUGUCAAUCAUAAUGGUUUUUAAAAAUCCCAUUAGUUUGAAUAAUUAAAUACCAAAAAAUACUUUCCGCCUGUAUUAAAAUUUCUGAUUUUAAUAGAAAAACCAACAGAAUGACUGUUUUUAAGCUUCUAGUUCAAUCUUAUUUUAAAAUGACAAACAGUAUAAUGACUAACAUCAUGCAGAAAGUACACUGCAGAGUGGGGUAGUAACUAACAAAAUAUGGCCAUGAUCUACCUUUAGGACUAUAGAGGACAAAUAAAACGGAAUAGAACCAGCUGGGCCCAGUGGCUCACGCCUGUAAUCCCAGCACUUUGGGAGGCUGAGGCGGAUGGAUCACCUGAGGUCAGGAGUUCAGGACCAGCCUGACCAACAUGGUGAAACCCCGUCUCUACUAAAAAUACAAAAAUUAGCCAGGUAUGGUGGCACGUGCCUGUAAUCCCAGCUACCUGGGAGGCUGAGGCAGGAGAAUUGCUGGAACCUGGGAGGUGGAGGCUGCAGUGAACCGAGAAAGCGCCAUUGCACUCCAGUCUGGGUGACAGAGCAAGACUCAGUCAAAAAAAAAAAAAAAAAAAAAAAAAAACAAGAAAAGAAAAAAGAAAAAAAAGGAAUAGAACCAGGUCUGAGUGCUAAAACCUUGGAGAAGGUAUAGUAGCAGCUAAACAGGCAAUGUGUUAUUGUUACAACUUGACAACUACGCAGGUCCACAAAGGAAUGGAAGCUGAGAAAUGUGGAGUAACAUGUUCAAUGUCACAUGGGUUCUAAGCAGAGAGGUCAGAAUUCAAACUCAGAUUUCUGCAUCUGAAAUAAGUGUUUUUAACCCCUCUGCCUACCAUUUGAUUGAAACUUAAAUUGUAGAUGUUUGAACAUUUUGAUUGACAAGGAUGGAUUUUCAAAUGGUUUGACCGAAAACCUCUCUCUACCACACAGAAAUCAAAGUGGGAAAAGGUAGCCAUGACCCACGGUGACCUGAGUCUGUUUUAUAGGACCAGAAAGAGCCCCAGGCUGUUUUUUCUCUUCUGCCCCACACGUUUCCAUGCUACACCCACCCACUUUUGGAUGUACUCUGCACAGUUGCCUUUUUAUUCAGGAAUCUUUAGAGGGCACCAUCUGUUCACCAGGCCCUGUGUGACGCGCUGGAGUUACCAACCUGAGUACAACUUAGUCCCUGACCUUGAGAAGUCCGCAUUAUUACCCUUCAGGGAACAAAGCAAGAGUAUAGAAAUUGCAUGAGCGGAAAAUCAUUUCAGGGAUGGAUCCAGCUGCUUUUGCACAUGUGAGAAUGGCCAUGCCAACUUAGGGUACCCCCUCAAAGAGGGGGUGAAGGAAGGGCACCUGAGCCCCACUGCCUGUCCCUCCCCAUCCUGUGUCCUCUCCAGGACAUGCUGAUUGCCACUGUCUCUUCACCCCGGCAGCUAAAGAAAGUUGCAUGGGACGUGGUGGGGAAGGAAAUCAAAAGUCUAGAACCCACACGGAAUGCUGGUCAUUCUUCAUCUCUCAUUUGUCGCUCUAACAACAUGUCAUUUCACGGCUCAAGUGAAGCCACGUUUCACUGUAGUUUAUUCUCUCAGAAGCUGAAGCCCCACGCUCUGGUUUCUAUCCCACGUACUGUAUUUAAUUUUAGCAAAAUCCUAGUAAAUAAAAUAAUUUGGAAAAAUAUGG